GUCCUGCAAAGGUAAGCCAUUUUAUGGGCCCGGGGAAGCUCGGUCUGAACAGAAACAUCCCCUCUCCCGCAAAUUCGGGCCCUGUGGCUUCCCGUCCUCUGAGACUCCCCGGGAUCGCUCUCCAAUUUACGGUCACCUCUACCCCCAAAGCAGGCCCAGCUCACUUUCCGCAUCCUCGGUUCUCUCUGAGCCACGGGUCAGGCAGCAAAGUGCUUGUUGAAAGAAAAAGGGAUUCCACUGGAAUGACCGUGGCUGGCCAUCCGAGAUGUUUUCAACAUCGUUUUUCCCUCCAAGUAAGCCCAAACCACAUGAGCUAGAGCAGAGAAAACACGUGGAUCUCAUUUACUAUUAAGAAACCAGGGCAAAUGGAAAUUUCAAGAGUUGAGAAUUCAGUUCACAUACUGCAAAGAAGAACUUCACCUUCAUUAGAAGAACGGCUUUUGUAUGUUUUUCCCUGACAGGUGCAGGUGAACCGAAGAACAUCCGCCACGCUGUUCCUCGUCCAGGGGGCCGGCCCUCCCUCCCGGCUGACGGCAGGCACCCGCCCCGAUUGUUACGGCCGUAUCGGUGGACAAGCCCAGCUUCCAAACAGGGGAGGAGCUAGCAAUAUGGGGAACAGGAGAAAAAAAGAAGGAAAGGAAGAGGAACAGAAAGGCUAUCAGCCCUCUGUGGGACAAGUACUACAUCCAACAAGAUUUCCUUGCAUCAACCUCAGCAGUCGGGUCAGCGCUUGAGCCAUAGUGAGUACUUAAAUACAGGUGUCAUUAUCAUCACUCGAGGCCGGAGGCUGUAUCCCUGGCGUCCAGAACCAACCAAGUCUUCCAGUGCUGGGGCAUCACCGCUAAACGAUCUGAAAGAUAGGGCAGACGUCACGACCGAAACAUAUCCGUCGUGAAUCGGCACCUUCUUAACUGCUUUUUUUGCAGAAAGAUACGAGGCUGUACCGAUCUUACCUUCACACUGGAAUGCAGGGACAUUUCCAGGAAGUAUAGUCUGAUGGCAGUCUGACCAGUAACUCCUGACUUAAAUUCCUGGCUUGCAUCACGGAAGAGAAAGAUCUGGUUGUCUCAGACAGCCCUCCAAAAGAACAAGGAGCUAACAAAAGAGUGCCUUAGUGAAAGAGUCUUGUGUAAAAGCAGUGGCAGAAAAUGCCCCCUGCCCCUCCAGGACUGACAGACGUGUCUGGCCCAACUGAUGACAGGUGAACACCCUGAGUACCCGAAAGCAACUCCGAAUAUCAUGUGAAGAAACGGCUACGUUUUCCUUUUCCCUGGUAAAGGGGGACACGAGAGCACGGAUAAUUAUUGAAAUCCACAGAGAUUUCACCAACAAACCAAACAAACCUUCUACCAGAGCUGAUGACAUGCAAAGCGGGCAAUCUGACUGGAGGUGAUUUCUUUCCCCUUCCCUAUACUAAGGAGCAGUGGAAGGGCCAAGUGCCAGGCAGAAGACAGGGGAAGGAGGAGCGGCAGCCAAGGCCUGGAAUAAAGAGAUAUCGGAAGCAUCUUCGGCUUGAGCGGAUUCUGGAGGGGGGAGUUUGGAUAACUGGGUGACUAAGGAUCUCAGUUAUCCUCUGUCUCCUCUGUUCCCUUUAGACAAGCAGCCCUGGGCCUCGUAGUUGGGAGACCCCGGGACCCUGGAGCAGUAGGCCACGGGACUUUGGACCACUCACCCUUUAAACUUUGUCUCUGUUGCCUUAGCUGUCAAAUGGGAAGAUGAAAAUGUGAGCCCUCUCUGGGCGGGGACCGUUUGAUCAUGCUGUCUUGGAUUUACCAGGUGUUGGGCCCUUAGUACUACUACAGUCAAUAAAUACCAGUGUUAUCAUCAUUACAGCAGUGCAGGCUGUGACCUUCCAAAAGGAGGUUUUGACUUCCUUACACUAGACGGGGAUGAAAUGUCUCCUCGUUCCCCAAAUGAAACUCUUGAGUGGGAGCAAUCCACUGACGAUAGAAGGGUAUUUCAGAAGAGCUAUAAGAAUUGUCAUUUUAAUUUGCCUACCCUCUCUGCCCCCUAGCCACGGAACGGUGUUAACAAUCUAAUCCAUCACCCAACCUCCAUCUCAAAGUUAGCUUCUCCCAAAAGUUCUGUCUCACUCAGUGAUCUGUGCUUAGCAUGCCAUUACGACGCUCGGGUAAGCACUCAGUCCAGCGAUCUGCUCUGCACGCAGAAAGCGUCAAGAAAUACAACUGGUUAGCAAGAAGCAAUAUAAAAAAGCAAGGGUCGGCAACCUCUGGCUCAGGAGCCAUCUGUAGCUGGCUUUUCUUGGAACUAAAAGUGGUUUACUUGAUGAACUGAUUCCCUUAGGCACUUUGAUACACCCUCCAACCACACAGUAAUUAUGUACAUAUCCUUAUACUCUACCA